UGUGUGCGUGCGUGCGUGUGUGUGUGUGUGUGUGUGUGUGUGUGUGUGUGUGCAUGCUCACAUGCACACAAGCAUGCAAGCGCAUAGUUGGG
rnacentral:miRNA from 1 species